rnacentral:rRNA from 1 species
UUCCGGUUGAUCCUGCCGGAGGGGACCCCUAUCGGGCUCGGACUAAGCCAUGCGAGUCGGCUGGGGGCCCUUGCCCCUGGCGGCGCACGGCUCAGUAAUACACGGUCAACCUGCCCUGGGGACCGGGAUAACCUCGGGAAACUGAGGCUAACCCCGGAUAGGGGUGGAUUCCUGGAAUGGGUCCACCCCCAAAGUAGGCGGGGGAAUGGCCCCGCUGAGGCCCCAGGAUGGGACCGUGGCCCAUCAGGUAGUAGGUGGGGUAACGGCCCACCUAGCCUAAGACGGGUGCGGGCGGUGGGAGCCGGAGCCCGGAGAUGGGCACUGAGACAAGGGCCUAGGCCCUACGGGGCGCAGCAGGCGCGAAACUUCCCCAAUGCGCGCAAGCGUGAGGGAGUGAGCCCGAGUGCCGCCCGCUGAGGGCGGCUGUUCCCGGG